rnacentral:lncRNA from 12 species
UAUAAAAUGUCUUGUUUUGUAAUUUUAGAGUGCCAUGAUCGUAAAUAUUUCAAUAUUUUAUUUUAGCCGGAAAGUGAAAUUUCCACCACAGUAGAAGAUUACAGUUCUGAGGUAAAUGGUUGCAGUUUUGUGACAAGAACAGCUAUACCUGCAGACUUAAUCAGGGAAGAAGAAUUUGGAGUUGGAGACAUUCAUUCAGAGCAUGGAAUGCAGCACUCACAGGCACAGCUAGAGGUGAUGGAGAAUCAACUGGCUGGGAAACAACAAGAGAUUGAAGAACUAAACAGAGAGAUAGAAGAAAUGAGGGCAGCCUAUGGUACAGAAGGAUUGCAACAGCUGCAAGAAUUUGAAGCUGCUAUCAAAAAAAGAGAUGACAUUAUCACUCAACUCACUACUAACCUACAGCAGGCACGGAAAGAAAAGGAUGAAACCAUGAGGGAGUUCUUGGAGCUUACUGAGCAAAGUCAAAAACUGCAAAUUCAGUUUCAGCAUUUGCAGGCAAGUGAAGCCCUAAGGAACAGCAGCCAUAGUUGCACAGCUGCUGAUUUAUUGCAAGCCAAGCAACAGAUACUUUCACAUCAGCAGCAGCUAGAAGAACAAGAGUGUCUGCUUAAGAAUUAUCAAAAAAAGAAUGAAGAAUUUGAAGUGCAGAUUGCACAUCUUCAAGAGAAAAUCAGGACAUAUGAACUGGAAAAACAGAAAAAAGAGGGAGAAGAUUUGAGUAAAUUACAAGAAAAAGAAGCACUAGUUGAAGAGCUGGAAGCAAAACUUGGAGAAGAAGAAAAAAGUUCGCUUCAGCUGAAGGAAAAACUAUCAGAUGUCAGCAAGUUACUUGAAGAAUUGAAAGAAGAGAUUUCACUAAGGAACCAGCAGAUAAGUAAUAUGAAAGCUGAACUUACCACCUACAAACAGAAAGAAAGACAAUGUUCUGAUGAAAUAAAACAAUUAAUGGGAACUGUGGAAGAACUGCAGAAACGAUGUUAUAAAGACAGCCAGUCUGAAGCUGACAUUGUGCAAAGAAUGGAAUUAGAAACACAAAGGAGACUGGCACAACUUCAGGCUGAAUUAGAUGAAAUGCACGGCCAGCAGAUUGUACAAAUGAAACAAGAAUUAAUUAAGCAGCAUGCAGUGGAAAUAGAACGGUGUCUUUUGCAACAAAAAGUAGAAUUGGAGCAAACUUCAAGUCUGUGUUUUAAUGAAAAUGUUAAUAAAGAUCAAAUGCAUUUAAUGAAUAUUAAAAUUAAUGAAUUAAAUAUGAAAUUGCAGGAUGCUGAUAAGGAAAGGGAAAAAAUAAAGCAAGAAUUGUCACAACAGAUGGAAGUUAUUGCAGCAGAGAAGUCUCUUCAACAAACUAGAAUUGAAGAUCUUCUUCAAGAACUGAAUUUUUCAAGAGAGCAGGUUCAAAGAGCCAAGCAAACUGUAGUGGAUAUGGAAUGUAGAUUAAAUGAAGCUGAAAAAUACCAGUCUGUGAUUGAAGAUUUAAAAACUCAACUGGCUUCUGCCUCUGAAUUUAGGAAGGAUUUGGAAUUAAAACAUGAGGCAGAAAUCACAAAUUACAAAAUAAAACUUGAAAUGCUAGAAAGGGAGAAGGAUGCAGUUUUGGACAGGAUGGCAGAAUCUCAAGAAGCAGAAUUAGAGAGACUGAGGACAAAUCUUCUGUUUAGUCAUGAAGAAGAACUUUCCAGGCUUAAAGAAGACUUAGAGAAAGAGCACAUGGUGAAUAUGGAAAGCCUUAAACACAACUUGAAUAUGCAGCAUAAACAGCAAUUAGAUGAAGUACAGAAUGAAAUGAGUCAAAAGAUAGAAGCCAUGCAAUAUGAAAAGGACAACUUAAUCACAAAGCAAAAUCAGUUGAUUUUAGAGAUUACAAACCUGAAAGAUUUACAGCAGUCUAUUGUAAAUUCUAAAUCUGAAGAAAUGACACUACAAAUCCAUGAACUGGAGAAAGAGAUUGAAGUACUUAGGCAAGAGGAAAAAGAGAAAGGUACCCUUGAACAAGAAAUACAAGAGCUGCAGCUUAAAACUGAGUUGAUGCAGGAACAAAUGAAGGAGAGGGAACAUACCCUUAAAAAAAAAUGUUCAGAACUAGAAACACAAAAUAAUGUUCUUAGGGGGGAAAAUAAAGCUCUGGAAGAGAAAUUAAAAAAUAUGUUGGUAUGCUCUGAAGAAAACAUACUUCAUAACAGUAGUGUUAGCUCUAAGACAGAAAUUUUGGACUUGCAGAAAAGAAUAGAAAAGCUGAUUACUGAAAAUGAGCAACUUAAAAACCAAAACAUUAUCCUCCAAGAGGAUAUUGAAAGGCAGAAGAGUGCCUUUUCAUUGACUGAGAAAAAACUUGAAGCUAGUUAUAAAGAACUGCAGAAAGAAUGUGGAAGUCUUCUGAAGGAAAAAACUGAGUUAGAAGAGAACAAGAAAAAGCAAGAAGCUGAAUAUAAAAGCAAGCUCAAAGCUUUGAAUGAAAAAAUCUGCCACUUACAAAGCAAUAGACCAGUUUCAUUUAAAACUAAACCCUCUGGUUUUGGAGAGGGUAAAGAAAUAAAGGUGUCCAGGGAAGAUAUAUUUGAGGCUGGAGAGGUUGUUGAGAAAGAUGCAACAGAACUUAUGGAAAAGCUUCAGGUUACUCAGCGUGAGAAAGUGGAAUUAUCCCUGAGACUUUCUGAUCUCUCUGAACAGUUAAAGUCAAAGGAUACUGAAAUCUGUCAUUUAAAUGAAAAAGUCAAAUCCUUAAAAGAUGAGAAAGAGCAAAUUCUAGUAAAAUGUAAAGAACUAGAAGUCGCAAUUAGUCAUGUUCAGAGAACAAAUAGUAGUAGUAAUGACUCUAGGAAAAAGUGCUCUAAAGGAAAAUCUCUGAAGACUGCAACUCCAGCCUCUGAAAGUAGGAAUAAAUCCCCUGGUUCAAGGAGUAAAGCUGACGAAAGAAUAGAUUCAAGAGGUAAUCUAAGUUCUGGUAAAGACUGCAGCCAUGAGGUAACAAAAAGGAAGGAGGUCCAGCAAAUGCUGAAACCAGAACACCAGUCUGUUGAGGAACAUUUGCAUGGGAUGCCAGACAGGCUGACAGAAGAAACAGCAUUAGCAUUCACUCCACAGAGUGAAAGUAACCUUCAGCAGCAAGUGGAUGCCUUAAAAUCAGAACAGACUGAUUUACAGCUACAAAUGGAAGCACAGCGGAUUUGCCUAUCCCUGGUUUAUUCAGCUCAUGUAGACCAGGUUUGUGAGUCCUUGAAGGCAGAAAAAGAGAGUGCACUUUGCAGUCUUAAAGAGGAGCUUGUUCAUAAUCAUAUACAAGAGAUGACUGAUCUUAAAAGAAUGCAUCAGCUGGAGCUCCAGACCCUGAAAUCUCAACAAGCAGAUGAUGAAUGGAAAUCUACACAAAGACUUAUAGAAAAACUGAAUGAAGCUGUCACUGAGGAAUGUUCCAGGCUGGCUCAGGUUUUAUGUGGCAGUCAGAAUGAACAUUCUUCAGCUGCUAUAGAAGCUGGUGAUAGGGAACAGGAAAUUUUCUGUAAACGUGCUGUGAAAGAAAAACUGAGUGUAGAAUUACCAGUACACAGAGGUCAAGCUCAAGUCCCUGGUUCUUUGUGUAAUUUAACUGUACAAGAACGUAUGGAUGCACUUCUGCGCAAGAUAAUGGAAGAGUACAGCAGGCUGAAAGUGCUUCAAACCCAGCUGAUGGCAGAGUAUAAACAGGUCAAGGAGCCAAAAGUAUCUUCUUCAGAAAGGAGGAAAGAAGAAGAACCUAUGCAUAUGGAAAUAGGAAAGGAAAGUCUGCAGACUCCUUCACAGAAUCUAAUGGGUAAAAAAAUGAAUAUGGUGUUUUUAAUGUUUGUAUAUUCAGAGACAAAGAGCAGACAAUGACUUUUAACUG